UUGAUUUCACACUGCCGAGAAAAGCCUCUAGAUAGAAAAUAGGUGCCCGUACCGCAAACCGACACAGGUAGUCAAGAUGAGAAUUCUAAGGUGAGCGAGCGAACUCUCGUUAAGGAACUCGGCAAAAUGACCCCGUAACUUCGGGAGAAGGGGUGCUCUUUAGGGUUAACGCCCAGAAGAGCCGCAGUGAAUAGGCCCAAGCGACUGUUUAUCAAAAACACAGGUCUCUGCUAAACCGUAAGGUGAUGUAUAGGGGCUGACGCCUGCCCGGUGCUGGAAGGUUAAGAGGAGUGGUUAGCUUCUGCGAAGCUACGAAUCGAAGCCCCAGUAAACGGCGGCCGUAACUAUAACGGUCCUAAGGUAGCGAAAUUCCUUGUCGGGUAAGUUCCGACCCGCACGAAAGGCGUAACGAUUUGGGCACUGUCUCAACGAGAGACUCGGUGAAAUCAUAGUACCUGUGAAGAUGCAGGUUACCCGCGACAGGACGGAAAGACCCCGUGGAGCUUUACUGUAGCCUGAUAUUGAAAUUCGGCACAGCUUGUACAGGAUAGGUAGGAGCCUUUGAAACGUGAGCGCUAGCUUACGUGGAGGCGCUGGUGGGAUACUACCCUAGCUG
rnacentral:rRNA from 1 species